rnacentral:rRNA from 1 species
GUACACGCUGUGACUAGCAUAUCAAUAAGCGGAGGAAAAGAAACUAACAAGGAUUCCCCUAGUAACGGCGAGUGAAGCGGGAAGAGCUCAAAUUUGAAAUCUUAAAGGGUUUCCCUUUACGAAUUGUAGUUUAAAGAAGUGUUUUCUGUUGAGGUUUUGGUAAAAGUUCUUUGGAAUAGGACAUCAUAGAGGGUGAGAAUCCCGUAUUUGACCUUUACUUUCAACUUUGUGAUACACUUUCAAAGAGUCGGAUUGUUUGGGAAUGCAGUCCAAAAUGGGUGGUAAAUUUCAUCUAAAGCUAAAUAUUGGCGAGAGACCGAUAGCGAACAAGUACCGUGAGGGAAAGAUGAAAAGAACUUUGAAAAGAGAGCUAAACAGUACGUGAAAUUGUCAAAAGGGAAGCGUUUGACACCAGUAUUGUUUUUCUGAAAAUCAAUUAAAGAACCGUUUAUGCUAAGUUGUUUAGACUUUAUCAGCUAUCUGUUUAGUUUUGAGCUUUUCUUUAAUGCACUUUUCAGUUAACAAGUCAACAUCAAUUUCUUUUGCUGUAAAAAAGCUUGAGGAAGGUGGCUUGAGAUUCGUCUUAAGUGUUUAUAGCCUCUUGCCUAUGCAGUCGGAGAGAUUGAGGUCUGCAGCGUAGAUCCUUCGGGGCUAAAUGCAUUUGUGCUAAGUUAUAGCAUUUUAUAGACAACUUGUUGACUAUGAUUUGUCUUGUAGCUUACUCGCUUAUGUUAUUUUACCUACGCUUAGGAUGUUGACGAGACUGUCGAUCUC